CCCUUAGAUGUUCUGGGCCGCACGCGCGCUACACUGAUGCAUUCAACGAGCCUAUCCUUGACCGACAGGUCCGGGUAAUCUUUGAAUCUGCAUCGUGACGGGGGUAGAUUAUUGCAAUUAUUAAUCUUCAACGAGGAAUGCCUAGUAGGCGCAAGUCAUCAGCUUGCGUCGAUUACGUCCCUGCCCUUUGUACACACCGCCCGUCGCUCCUACCGAUUGGGUGUGCUGGUGAAAUGUUCGGAUCGGCCGUUUGUCGCGGUUUCCGCGGCUCGUGGCUGGGAAGUUCAUUAAACCCUCCCACCUAGAGGAAGGAGAAGUCGUAACA
rnacentral:rRNA from 1 species